GUUACACACAAUGCAUCCCUUACACACACAGAAACACACAACGCAUUCAUUACACACACUCAAUGCACCCCUUACACACAUUCAAUGCAUCCCAUACAUACACAGAAACACACCUUGCAGCCCUUACACAUACAAAAACAAUUUCACACAAUGCAUUCCUUACACACAUAUCAGGACAUCCCCUACACACUCCACCCCCUGUGAACAAACUCAUUGGUGGAAC